UACGGGGGGGGGCAAGCGUUGUUCGGAAUUACUGGGCGUAAAGGGCUCGUAGGCGGCCAACUAAGUCGGAUGUGAAAUCCCCAGGCUUAACCUGGGAACUGCAUCCGAUACUGGAUGGCUUGAAUCCGGGAGAGGGAUGCAGAAUUCCUGGUGUAGCGGUGAAAUGCGCAGAUAUCAGGAGGAACACCGGUGGCGAAGGCGGGUCUCUGGGCCGAUACUGACGCUGAGGAGCGAAAGCGUGGGGAGCGAACAGG
rnacentral:rRNA from 1 species